rnacentral:rRNA from 1 species
AUUGAACGCUGGCGGCAGGCCUAACACAUGCAAGUCGAGCGGAGCGGCGGACGGGUGAGUAAUGCCGGGGAGUGGGGGAUAACGUCCGGAAACGGGCGCUAAUACCGCAUACUAUCAGAUGAGCCUAGGUCGGAUUAGCUAGUUGGAGGGGUAAAGGCCUACCAAGGCGACGAUCCGUCACUGGUCUGAGAGGAUGAUCAGUCACACUGGAACUGAGACACGGUCCAGACUCCUACGGGAGGCAGGAGUGGGGAAUAUUGGACAAUGGGCGAAAGCCUGAUCCAGCCCUGCCGCGUGUGUGAAGAAGGUCUUCGGAUUGUAAAGCACUUUAAGUUGGGAGGCGUUACCAACCGAAUAUGCACCGGCUAACUUCGUGCCAGCAGCCGCGGUAAUAC